UAAUAUCAACUUAUUUUAAAAUUAAUUAUUAAAAAUAAAUUUAAACAUCUCAAAAUUCCUCUCCAAUGGCUCCAAAAGGAAUUUCAUGCAGCCUUCCGAGAAAUUUUGGUAGCCUCCUGAUAUCCCCUCGCUGCAGGGGGAGGUUGGAACGACCCGCGGAUAAAAGAUCGACAACUAAUUGUCUUAGAAUUAGAAAUCAUCCCGUUAACAACGAAAUUCGACUGCGUGAACUCUUCAAUUUCAAAAUUUUUAUGCCCAGAUCAAAGAUUAACAGUGCGGGAUCUUCGAAUUUUAAAACCAUCCGUCAAGAUCAAAGAUUGAAAGUGCGGGUCUUCAAAUUGACAAAUAACCAUCUAUUUACUUUAUUUGUUGUUAAAAUGACGAACCAUAUGAUCAAUUGAAAUUGUCAUGCAUAUGCGACACAAAGGUAAGCAAUUUACAUUUCAGAUUUAUCUACUUGGAAUAUCCCGGCCCAGAUCUAUCUGGGUAGUUCACGCAGGCAAGUUCAUGUGCGAGUGAAGGCAAAGCGUUCAUGUGCGAGUGAAGGCACAGCUAAUGUACAGGUUUUGGUAAAAGGUAAUCACGAAGGCAAGCAGAAGUGCAGGUAGUCGGAUUAAAUGCGAAGGGGCGGAAUCGGAGGGCUUCUUGAGUGCGAACAGGGACAGCGGACUAGAGCGUGGGCUUAUCCGUUCUCGUGCGGGAGGUCGGAUUCGGCACAGGAGUCGGAAACCUGGAUGCUUGGUCGGAUUCGGCUAGGCUUCACACGUAAGGAGGCGGAGGCGGAGGCGGAGGCGUGAGAUCUAGGGUUGGCACGACGGAAGAUUAGCCGGCCUAGUUGUUCGUGUGGGAUUCGCAUGAUCGAUUCCAAGGCAGAGGGUGUGGGUGUGGUGACGAACAGGAAGUAGCCGUGCGAGAUUUAGUCGAUCGGAUCGAAGGCAGAGGAUGUGGGAUCAAUUAGAGAAGGAAAGCGCGAUUGAGAUCAUUGAUAAGGAAUUGCAGUGACAGGUUGCAGUCCAUUGUUCCUACUAGCAAAGCAGUGGACGGAAUAGAAUGGACAGGAAGGCAGGAAUCAACAAGAGCACUAAUUUGGUAUAAUUCUUGAUGAAUUAAGAAGGUUAAGACACCAUUGGAGUAGUUGUGGACUCAAGUUCAUAAAGAAGAAAAUAAAAGAAGCAGAGUUUCAUUUCCCAAAAAUCCAAUUACAACCAUAUGGAGGUCUACAUAAGCUUUUUUAUGAAGCAUUAAAAAAGCCGUCCCAAACGGAAACUCAGUCUUUGCAGCUGUUUUCUGAACUUCUUUUAUUUCUUCUUCUUCGAAGAUGAACUAUAAUAUUUGCAUUAUUGUUUUUAGCUUGGUCUUCUAAGUUCUUGAUCCAUUCUUCUCCUUGUUCUUUUACUAUGGUUGAAUCCAAGGGAAUAUAUUGUUACUUAACAGUA